CGAAGCAUGAAGAUAAAGGAGAAGCUGCCAGGGAGGGCUCCACUGACGGUCUCCACCUUUAAGAAACUCUGGGACUAGACACUUCCGCACUUUUGUUCUUGGCCUCAGUAAUCUGCUCCACUGCCCUUCUGAACACAGGAAUGGAGGAAUGCAGCCUCACUGCAGAUAAAACAACGGCAGCUGUUACGUCUCUCCACCAUGGCCUGUGACGGAGUCUGGUACGUGAGUCACGGCAGCUGUUACGUCUCUCCACCAUGGCCUGUGACGGGGUCUGGCCCACAUGCUUGUCUCCUGCCCUCCUCCUCUCUGUGGGAAGUACAUCUGCAGAUCUGAAUUGCAGCCUAAGUGAUAAAUCUGCCACUGCAGUCUGCCCUCAUUGUUGCUUCAGCUUUUUUUCACCAUGACCCCUUCAGAACCAAUUGGAGCCUUCAUCCAACCACGAAAUCACUGGGAAAGCACAGCCAAGGGCUGACAGCGAGGACAGAGAACACUUGGCUACCGUCUGCAUCUACAGUAAAUGUGAGCAUCAGAUAUAAGGUCAACACACAGAGAACAUUCUUGUUUUUAAAUAGAUGAACUUAUUGACAUUUAUGGGUCUCCUGUUGAUGGCCUUGUCUGCCAUAGUAUGUGGAGCUGUGGUUGUAGUGAGCAAUAUCACUC